CUGACGAGCUACAAUCUUUGGCUGAUGAAACCUGAAGCACUCACUUUUCAUCUCUUCCAUGUAAGGUUGGUCAAAACAUGGAAAAUAAAUUGCACAUUUGAAAAGGAAAAGAAGAAAAGUAUUCAAUACACCGCCCAUAUCCUUAACAAUUAUUUUGCAUUUAAAACCAAAAAAGGUUUCUAAGCCUGAAAAUAUAACCGGGAAAAAUGACUUCCAAAGUGGAGGUUUUGGAUUUGGAUGACAUUAUUCGUUCAAGUGGAAACGCUGAUCAUGGUUGUCCUUGAAAAAUAUAGUUAGCUAAAUAGUCUUAACUUUUUCAUUUCCUUGUUCAAAGUCACAACCUUGCAUUACGCUUUUAAACAAUUUGGGGAAAUACAGCUGACGGCAUGUCUUUGAAUCUUCUGGUAGGUUUACCAACACCAUAGGAGUUGGAGACACACGUGGAUGUAUUUGAAGGCACACUAAAAUGCCCUGCUUCUUUAUGUCACAUGGACUAAGUCAAAAGAAAACGGUGGAGAUAUGAGGAAGAGAAUUGUGCACAGGCACUAGUGUGGUUCAUCCUUGGUUGCAAUUUUCAGAUGCCCCGAGGGUGCCACAUCAUCUCCUCAAACAAAUAGACAUAAAUAUUAACACUAUGGGAAUUUCCAGCCAUCAUACCACUCAGGAAGUGGCUACCAAAUAUGCAUAUCAACCCAAGAACCAAAGUACAAGACCUUGUGAAGAUGCUGGCUGAAGCUCGUAUUAUGAGCCACAGGCAGAUUCUAAAAGGCAAAUGCACACAAGAGCCAUUACCUUAUUUUUUAAGACUCAACUCAACUUUGCUUGUAAAGACAUGUCCCCGGUGGUCUGAUGAGACAAAAACUGAACUGUUUUGCCACAAUGAGCAUUGUUACAUUUGGAGGGAAAGGGAAAAACAUGUGGUUGAGUUGCUUUUGCUGCAGGAGGUACUGGGUUACGUAAUGGGAUAGAUGGUAUCGUGAGGAAAGAUCAAUUUGUGGAAAUAGGAAAGCAACACGUCAAGACAUCAGCCAGCAAGUUAAAAGUUUGGGCGCAAAUGGACAAUGACCAAAAGCAAUCUUGCCAAACUGGUUCCAAAGCGGCUUAUGUCGAGUAAAGUCAAAUGUUUUUGCCUCGCCUUCCACAAGCCCCUGAUCUCAAUGCUGUUGAAACUGUAUGGGCUUAUGUGUCUUCUGUUCUUUUUAAAUAUAUUUAGAGUGGAUCUAAACUUCUGUUUUCAAGUGUAGUUUGAGACUGACAGACAUUUCAACACACAACCAACCCAACGUCACCCUCAUGUUUCGCUGCUGCUUAUUUUUAAAGGAACUAGAGUGUUGUGUUACAUUGGCUGAUAAACAGGCAUGAGCAAC